rnacentral:rRNA from 1 species
CAGUAGCCGCGGGAAUACGGAGGGUGCAAGCGUUAAUCGGAAUUACUGGGCGUAAAGCGCACGCAGGCGGUCUGUCAAGUCAGAUGUGAAAUCCCCGGGCUUAACCUGGGAACUGCAUUUGAAACUGGCAGGCUGGAGUCUUGUAGAGGGGGGUAGAAUUCCAGGUGUAGCGGUGAAAUGCGUAGAGAUCUGGAGGAAUACCGGUGGCGAAGGCGGCCCCCUGGACAAAGACUGACGCUCAGGUGCGAAAGCGUGGGGAGCAAACAGGAUUAGAUACACCGGUAGUCCCUGUCUCUUAUAC